rnacentral:lncRNA from 1 species
UUCUUAACUCUUGAUUCCUUUUAAUACAAGUAUAUUAGCAAUAAAAAAAAAAAGUCAGAUUUUGAGAACAUUUCUCCCCUGUAACAACUAAUUGCCGACCAUUUUGCUAAUUAGGACAACAUGUGAUCUACAUAUUUGGCUCACAUGCCUCAUCAUUCAGACUAUAAUUGUUUGGAUCUGUGCGUGGAACAAACCGAGCCUUUCACUGUCACCAGGUUUAUACAUUAUGUCAGUAUGUGCCACGUCUAGCCUGAAAAUGCUGUAUAUUUGUCUUUAACCUGUGAAUUUUCUUGACAGAUCCAUCAACUGCCGUCGAACCUGUAAUCUCCAGACAAGCCUCUUGGGACUUGACCUGGGUCGUUGUACCAGCUGGAGUUUGCCUCUCCGGCAUCAUUAUCAUCACUCUGGUGCUUCACGCCCUGUUAACCAUCUAUCAGAGGAGGAAACAAGAGAGAAAUGGGGACUGUUCUUCGGAAAAGCAAACAGGUCCCUCUUUUGAGUGUGUGGUCCCUGCAUUUCCAUCUCAACCUGUCCUCCACAGAGGGGUCCUCAUACCGGAUGCACUGCAGUAUGGGAACACAGAGAAGGCCAACUUAAUCUCUAAUUAACCAAAGAGACUAAGAGCAUUACUUUACAAUUUGCAGUACAAGACUGUAAAGAUUGUUACACAAACCACAUAAGUUCUCUGUUGAAUGCAGUGUACAAUGUUGGGGCAGAUAUUUCAGAUGUUAUGUACGUUACCUAGUGUGCGUGUGUGCUUGAUAGUGUGCUUGCCAUAUUAUUGCCGGUUGUUAAUAUGUUCUGUGUGGUGUUGUCUCUUUGGGUGAAAGCCUAUGUGAAUUAAGUUAAAAUGUUCAUCCAGCAUGCAGCUAAACAGUCAUUUCCUGAAUUUAAAUGUCUAUUUUCAAUAAAAAAUGCCAAACUUGGAAGAAAACCGUUGAAAACUGUUGAUAAUUAAUGUUAUAAUUUUUUUUUGCAAAUGUUGGAGGGGAAUGAUUCACUUCCUUUCAGUUUCGGCGUGGUCCAAAAUUUGAAUCGCAAUAAACAUUUCCUCAUCGAAGCUUCCUUGUAU